UCGUUAAUUCCUAUACGUAGUUUUACGAUACUGAAGCCCUGACGGUCUGGCCACCGUGGGGCUUCGCU
rnacentral:antisense_RNA from 1 species